CCGUGUUCUGGAACCCGAGGUCUGCUGCUGGAAGCCUCCAAGCUGCAUCUGAAAAAUGAGCACUGUGACAAUAACCAAACUGCAAAGAGUUGUAAAGAUUACAUGACCUAAUAUAUUUAAAGUACUUAGAAGAGUACCCAGCACACACUCGUGGCAACUACCAUUCUACUUUCUAUCAUUAUGAAUCUGAUACUCUGGGUACCUAAUUCUGCUUUGAAGUUUUUCAAGACAGGAACAACUAUGGACAGAGCACAGACAAACAGGCCAUAAACAAGGAUUCUCUCUAUGUAGAGGGAAGAGGUUCCCAUGAUGUGAAUUCGGCCAAGCAGAAAAGAAUGGAGAAAGGAGACAACAUCCAGACCUGACCCUGCCAGAGAUCCCUGAGAGCAGGCGAAGAGAAUGAAGGAGCCCGGGCUCCUCCCUCGCGGCCCAGGCCUCCUGUGGCAACUCAGCUGGGCAACGUGACUCAGGAAAGCACGGGGCUGGCGGCGGCCUAGCAAGGCUGCCUCCCCGGACCUCCCAGGCCUGCCUUCUGGGUCUUACC